GAUCCUGGCUCAGGACGAACGCUGGCGGCGUGCUUAACACAUGCAAGUCGAACGAGAAUCUGCGGAAAGAGGAUUCGUCCAAUUGAAGCAGAGGACAGUGGCGGACGGGUGAGUAACGCGUGAGGAACCUGCCUUUCAGAGGGGGACAACAGUUGGAAACGACUGCUAAUACCGCAUGACACAUUGAGGUCGCAUGGCCUUAAUGUCAAAGAUUUAUCGCUGAAAGAUGG
rnacentral:rRNA from 1 species